AGAGUUUGAUCCUGGCUCAGAAUCAACGCUGGCGGCGCGCCUAACACAUGCAAGUCGAACGGGAAAGUGGGCAACCAUGAGUACAGUGGCGUACGGGUGAGUAACACGUGGGUGAUCUACCUCUUAGUGGGGAAUAACCCUGGGAAACCGGGGCUAAUACCGCAUAAGCUCGAGAGAGGAAAGCAGCAAUGCGCUGAGAGAGGAGCCCGCGGCCGAUUAGCUAGUUGGUAGGGUAAAAGCCUACCAAGGCAAAGAUCGGUAGCCGGCCUGAGAGGGCACACGGCCACACUGGCACUGAAACACGGGCCAGACUCCUACGGGAGGCAGCAGUGGGGAAUCUUGCACAAUGGGGGAAACCCUGAUGCAGCGACGCCGCGUGAGCGAUGAAGCCCUUCGGGGUGUAAAGCUCUUUCGGCAGGGAAGAUGAUGACGGUACCUGCAGAAGCAGCUGCGGCUAACUACGUGCCAGCAGCCGCGGUAAUACGUAGGCAGCAAGCGUUGUUCGGAGUUACUGGGCGUAAAGGGUGUGUAGGCGGUCUUUUAAGUUUGGUGUGAAAUCUCCCGGCUCAACCGGGAGGGUGCGCCGAAUACUGAGAGACUCGAGUGCGGGAGAGGAAAGUGGAAUUCCUGGUGUAGCGGUGAAAUGCGUAGAUAUCAGGAGGAACACCGGUGGUGUAGACGGCUUUCUGGACCGUAACUGACGCUGAGACACGAAAGCGUGGGUAGCAAACAGGAUUAGAUACCCUGGUAGUCCACGCCCUAAACGAUGCAUAUUUGGUGUGGGCAGUUCAUUCUGUCCGUGCCGGAGCUAACGCGUUAAAUAUGCCGCCUGGGGAGUACAGUCGCAAGGCUGAAACUCAAAGGAAUUGACGGGGGCCCGCACAAGCGGUGGAGCAUGUGGUUCAAUUCGACGCAACGCGAAGAACCUUACCUGGGCUCGAACGGGUAGUCAACGGCGGUGGAAACAUCGCUACCCCGCAAGGGGGUC
rnacentral:rRNA from 1 species